rnacentral:rRNA from 1 species
GAUCAUGGCUCAGAUUGAACGCUGGCGGCAGGCCUAACACAUGCAAGUCGAGCGGUAGCACAGAGAGCUUGCUCUCGGGUGACGAGCGGCGGACGGGUGAGUAAUGUCUGGGAAACUGCCUGAUGGAGGGGGAUAACUACUGGAAACGGUAGCUAAUACCGCAUAAUGUCGCAAGACCAAAGUGGGGGACCUUCGGGCCUCAUGCCAUCAGAUGUGCCCAGAUGGGAUUAGCUAGUAGGUGGGGUAACGGCUCACCUAGGCGACGAUCCCUAGCUGGUCUGAGAGGAUGACCAGCCACACUGGAACUGAGACACGGUCCAGACUCCUACGGGAGGCAGCAGUGGGGAAUAUUGCACAAUGGGCGCAAGCCUGAUGCAGCCAUGCCGCGUGUGUGAAGAAGGCCUUCGGGUUGUAAAGCACUUUCAGCGGGGAGGAAGGCGAUAAGGUUAAUAACCUUGUCGAUUGACGUUACCCGCAGAAGAAGCACCGGCUAACUCCGUGCCAGCAGCCGCGGUAAUACGGAGGGUGCAAGCGUUAAUCGGAAUUACUGGGCGUAAAGCGCACGCAGGCGGUCUGUCAAGUCGGAUGUGAAAUCCCCGGGCUCAACCUGGGAACUGCAUUCGAAACUGGCAGGCUAGAGUCUUGUAGAGGGGGGUAGAAUUCCAGGUGUAGCGGUGAAAUGCGUAGAGAUCUGGAGGAAUACCGGUGGCGAAGGCGGCCCCCUGGACAAAGACUGACGCUCAGGUGCGAAAGCGUGGGGAGCAAACAGGAUUAGAUACCCUGGUAGUCCACGCCGUAAACGAUGUCGAUUUGGAGGUUGUGCCCUUGAGGCGUGGCUUCCGGAGCUAACGCGUUAAAUCGACCGCCUGGGGAGUACGGCCGCAAGGUUAAAACUCAAAUGAAUUGACGGGGGCCCGCACAAGCGGUGGAGCAUGUGGUUUAAUUCGAUGCAACGCGAAGAACCUUACCUGGUCUUGACAUCCACAGAACUUAGCAGAGAUGCUUUGGUGCCUUCGGGAACUGUGAGACAGGUGCUGCAUGGCUGUCGUCAGCUCGUGUUGUGAAAUGUUGGGUUAAGUCCCGCAACGAGCGCAACCCUUAUCCUUUGUUGCCAGCGGUUAGGCCGGGAACUCAAAGGAGACUGCCAGUGAUAAACUGGAGGAAGGUGGGGAUGACGUCAAGUCAUCAUGGCCCUUACGACCAGGGCUACACACGUGCUACAAUGGCAUAUACAAAGAGAAGCGACCUCGCGAGAGCAAGCGGACCUCAUAAAGUAUGUCGUAGUCCGGAUUGGAGUCUGCAACUCGACUCCAUGAAGUCGGAAUCGCUAGUAAUCGUAGAUCAGAAUGCUACGGUGAAUACGUUCCCGGGCCUUGUACACACCGCCCGUCACACCAUGGGAGUGGGUUGCAAAAGAAGUAGGUAGCUUAACCUUCGGGAGGGCGCUUACCACUUUGUGAUUCAUGACUGGGGUGAAGUCGUAACAAGGUAACCGUAGGGGAACCUGCGGCUGGAUCACCUCCUU